CUAAAGGCCGUGAAGCUUUGAGCUAAGCAAGGAUCCAAAUGAAGAGGUUGUCGAUCCAAAAAUGGGAGGCAUGUUUUCCUCUAAAAAAACAAAGCAACUAUAAAGCACAAAGAGGAGAAAAGAGCCCAAACAAAAUAACCACUAUUGCCUCCACUAAUCAAGGAAUCUAGAAACCAACAACUUCAUAUUUGCUCGUAAAGUGGAGAGGGAAAAAGAAGAGAAGAAGAGGUUUUACUUCUGAGAUAGCCUUGGAGUCAGUGAACCACAAAGAUUCCUCUAUAGACCCUAAAGUGCCUCUUUCCUUAAGGAUCACCAUCGACAUCAACACUUCCAUUCCUACAAGAACUCAAACCCAAACACUGAAAAACAAAAAAAGCAAGAACAAAAGAAGAAAACAACCAUCUAUCCAAAUCCAAAAGAACCUAGCAAGAGAGAAACCUUAUCUAAGUAACACCUAGAUCUAGC
rnacentral:lncRNA from 1 species